AGUGAACGCUGGCGGUAGGCCUAACACAUGCAAGUCGAACGGCAGCACAGUAAGAGCUUGCUCUUACGGGUGGCGAGUGGCGGACGGGUGAGGAAUACAUCGGAAUCUACUUUUUCGUGGGGGAUAACGUAGGGAAACUUACGCUAAUACCGCAUACGACCUACGGGUGAAAGCAGGGGAUCUUCGGACCUUUCGCGAUUGAAUGAGCCGAUGUCGGAUUAACUAGUUGGCGGGGUAAAGGCCCACCAAGGCGACGAUCCGUAGCUGGUCUGAGAGGAUGAUCAGCCACACUGGAACUGAGACACGGUCCAGACUCCUACGGGAGGCAGCAGUGGGGAAUAUUGGACAAUGGGCGCAAGCCUGAUCCAGCCAUACCGCGUGGGUGAAGAAGGCCUUCGGGUUGUAAAGCCCUUUUGUUGGGAAAGAAAAGCAGCAGGUUAAUACCCCGCUGUUCUGACGGUACCCAAAGAAUAAGCACCGGCUAACUUCGUG
rnacentral:rRNA from 1 species